CAGCGCUCGGCGUGUGAGGGCGGUUCCCGGCGUGGUGACUGAUUCUGGAAGGAGUUUUGGUAUACUUACUCCGUAAGAUCUGUAAUCAUAUAUAAGCCGCAUUGAAGAUUGUUGGCUGUUUCGUUUGCCGGUCAACACGGAAUUGCAGACUGCGGAAUCGUCACCACCCUCAAAGACCACAGCUCAUGUGCGGCAGGACGUGCGCCGCCGCCAUCUGCUGGUCAAAACUGAACUGCGGCCAACGGAAACUCCAGCUCUCUCACAGAGCCAUCGAGGUGGUGGCAGUGUUCCAGCACACCGGCAAAUGCGCGGAAUCGAGCUCUUUCAAAGUUCGCGAGUUGGGGACGUUGCUUCAGCGCAGCGACCAAUGGACGUCACUUCAAGGGAUCACGUGACCCACUUGACCCUGUGGCGCUGGUGUCCAGCUGACAGCUGACCGACCUCCGCUAGCUGGCGAUAGGAGCUGCUCGAAGGUCUUUGUCGACCGGCGCCGGUGUCCUCUGCAGUCCGGGCGACCACAGACACCAUCAGCACAAUGAAGACCAUCGCAGCAGAACCGGUGGUGUCGCGCAACAGUCGCUGGAUGUGACUGGUGGUGUCCGAGGGGGUAAUCGGGGGGAGGCAGAUCUACCUGACUUCUCUCCUGGUUACCCCCUCCCAUGCUUGGGUGGUAUGGUUUCUCCUAGACAUACCACCCAAGCACUAUACUGGGUAGGGAGGGGGACAGGAUGGUCCCCGGUGGACCACUCGUGUCGGGGAC